rnacentral:misc_RNA from 1 species
AAAAAAAAAAAAAAGACAUUUUACAGAUGCCCAAGGAAAAUUUACAUAAACAUAACAUGAAAUCAAUCGACUAAAGCGCCUUCAUCGGAUUAAAAACUAAAUAAAGAAGGCCGCAAGUUGACAAUGACAAAGCCUUCAUAUUCCACCUGAUGCAGUUUUUUACAUGACAUGCCAUUGGAGCCCAAAAUGCAUUAGGCUUCUACAAAUGGCACCAUUCAAAUCUCCGUUCUUAUAUGAUAAUCAUCAGGCUCUCUGUCAACCGUUCAACAAACCACAAAACCAAUGACAUUCGCCAGCGGAAAAAAUGGAGAUGAAAGAAUCACAAACGAAAUGCAAUCAAUAUAGGCAACAGCGAAAUUUACAAGUAAAGCCAGAAGUUCUUCCCCUUUUUAAGUAAUGCAGAAUGAGAUGCAAAAUGCAUCAUAAAUUACUUGAAGUUUGUAGAAUGCAAUUGUUUCUAUAAAAAUAAAAUCUUCCAUAGUAAUGCAUCCCAAAAAGGGGCGCAAGAUAUCUAAGCCAGAGCAUUAACAAGCGAAAAAACAGAGAAAAAGAGCACAAAAUUAGGAGGCUGGAUCUUGGUUUACCUCAGAAGUAGUGACAAUCACAUAUCAUCACGUUACAUCUGAUAAUACGUGCAUUUAAUUGCAUCCUAAGUAAACCAUCAAGCCAUUGAUUGAGAGAAAACAUGCAAGUUCUCAGGAAAACAUAGAAUAUCUGCAGGAUUGCAAUUACCCUAACCUUAAACAGAAGGCCACAAAAAUACAAAAUCAACAUGGAAAUUCAAUUCAAAAGCCUAGCUCAACUGAUUGUUUUGCCUCAGAGGUAGUGACAAUUAGAGAGAUAUCAUCACAAUAAGAUCUGAUAAUAUGUGCAUAUAGACUCAUCAUAGGCAACAUAACUAUGGGUAAACACUAAUGAUGAUAAUGGUGUGAAUCCCCCAUUUUCUCUUAAACAGGACAUAACAACAGUCAGUGGGAAACAGUUGCACAAAACAAAAUAUGCAAAACCAUGUAUACUUCAAAAAGUGUGUCUGAACUAUAAGUUUUUUUAUGUUGCCAUAUUUACAUUUAUAUCUUAUAGUUUCCCAUUUUCUACAAAAUUUAGAAACUCCAGCAUCAGAGAGAUUCCCAAAGACAAUCAUCAUUCUCCAACAGAGUGCUGAUGUCCCUGUCUUUUGUAUCGUCAUUUGCACAAACUAUUUGGGGUUGAAAAAUUACAAGUAAAUACUACUUCAAAAAAGUUGGAAAUACCAUAAAUAAAAUGUAGAAGCAUAAAAAGUUCUACAAGAAAAUUAGACAAAAAUGAAAAGUACAAAAACGUGGGUAGAAAGAAAUUAGGGUCCUUUAUGAAGUUAUAAUCAUAAUGAAUAACCAUAGUUAUUCUAGAAACCAACAUAGGCACUUAAAAAAUGACUCAAACUUCAAAUCUAAUGGGUACUAAUUCGCACAUCAAGUGAACAUGUAUGCUAAUGAACCAGCAAUGGUCCUCUGUUCACAUGAAGUUGAGUAAAACCCAUCAAAAGGAAAUCCCAAACUAUUUUGCAUGUUAUCAUGGUAAAGUCACCAAAAUGCACCAUUAUUCAUGUUCUGGAACAGUACAAACCACAUAACUAAUAAUUUGGAAAGAGAAAUGAUAAGAUAUGGACAAUCUUCAUAAGCAAACUCUUCAAAUAUGAAAUAUAAAAUUACGAGAACAGGAAAACAUAUUUGAGAACAUGUAUAAUGCAUCAGAGAGAU